CCCUUAGAUGUCCUGGGCCGCACGCGCGUUACACUGAUGCAUUCAACGAGCUUAUAACCUUGGCCGAGAGGCCUGGGCAAUCUUGUUAACGUGCAUCGUGAUAGGGAUAGAUUAUUGAAAUUAUUAAUCUUGAACGAGGAAUUCCUAGUAAACGCAGAUCAUCAAUCUGCAUUGAUUACGUCCCUGCCCUUUGUACACACCGCCCGUCGCGCCUACCGAUUGAACGUUCCGGUGAGACCUUGGGAUUUUGGUUUAUUUGAUUUAUUUCAGAUUUACUAGAAGAACUUGAGCAAACCUUAACGUUUAGAGGAAGGUGAAGUCGUAACA
rnacentral:rRNA from 1 species